CACAGCAGAAUGAACCGCCUGGUAUAAAUUUAACAGCUUGAAUAUUUUCAUGAGUAAACAAAAAUAAAAUUUAAAAACACUCAGCUCAGUAAUAGCUCAGAUUUACCCUGAAUAAAUAGUGAACACACUGUACACCUUAUAUUGAUCCACACAUCCAUCUAUUUCUUGUGUGGUUGCAGAGAAUGGCUCAGCCUGUUCUUCAAUCUCUGACAGCUGUCAAUCAUUUCAGCUCAUCUGUCAAUUGGAGUUCACUUGAAUGUGUGUGCGCUAUGCUUUUUUUCAUGCACUUUCUGUUUGCAUUAGCCAUCAUUUUAUUAUUAGCUUUUCUAGGUCUUUAGCUUGCAUGUGUUAUUCUGUGCAUGCAUGUACGAGUGUGUUUGUGCGCGUGUCUGCUUGCUAUAGGCUCUAGGCGGCAGCCGGCGCAGUCAAAGGCGGUCUAAUAUUAGCACCUCACUGAUGGCUUGCUGUAUCUGGACGAAAGAGGGUGAUAAAUGAGGAUAGCAAGGGUGGGGGCCAUGGAGCCGAGGGGGAAAUUUAAAAGGGAUAGCAUCUCCAUUUUACCACCGAAAAACCAUGCUUGCAUGUCCCCGUCUGCAUCAGCGAGGAUAUAACACUUGAUCUACAUGUGAUACCUAGAGAUUAGUCAGACAGAUCAAGAGCAUGAGGCAAGUGAAGGAAAGAGAGGAAGAGGGCAGUGUGGUGCUGCUUUGCGUUUCCUUUGCUCCGGUCGCUGAUUUGAUCCCACUCACUGUUGUCCGUCGCUAGUCUCCUACCUGCUCGCCUCGUCCCUCCCCCAUCAGCUCGGGCUGCUCUCCCCCCCUCGCUCUGCCCAAGCCUGGGGGAGCCAGUGGAGAUUAAAUGUAGCCUCUAUAAGCCAAGCACAUCAUGUAGCUGUGUUUCUAAGGCCUCUCUCUCUCUCUCUCUUUCUCCCUCACUUUCAUUUAAAGGAUAGUGUUUAUGAUGCUAGGCAUGUGGUAAAGAACUUGCACAAUGUCAAUGUCAUUGGGAUUACCAAAUGUUGGGAUAUUUUAUUGGCAAUGGAGUAAAAAUGACACACAAACAAACAGGAAAAAACAAAGCGUGUGAAAUUCCCUGUCUUUUUCUAACACUAUUUCUCUUUCUCAACCAACAUCCCCCCUUUGAGUUGAUACUGCAGAGAAGUGGGCCUCUGGCUUUAAAUGAUCACAGCUGUGCGAGCAAAUUAAUGGAUGAUAUUUCUCUGUUUCCCCCCUUGUUCACCAACUUUUUUCAAUGUGGAUUUAUAAAGACGGAAAGAGUAGACUAGGGAUGUCACGCUUCCACGUUUUUUUCCCCCUCCUCUUUUCAAUUGCAUGCAUCUCAGUCUGCUCAACUCCGAGAGAGAGGAAGAGUGUGCAUGUGUGUGUCCUGGGAGAGAGAGAGAGAGAGCGAGAGAGAGAGAGAUGGCGAGGGAGGGAGAAAAUGAAAUGUAAGACAGAUACGGAGAGUGAAAGAGAAGAAGGGGGUGUGGAGAGAGCGAGCUAGCGAGAGUGGAGAGCCAGUAACACUGUGCAUUGAUGCAUUUGCUGCGUCUCAGUCGCGCUCUUACUGUGGGACGUAGCCGAGGGUUUUUGGCAACGGCAGGCUGCCUGUUUUCCAUCAUCCAGUCGAGUUGGACCUGGAAUAGGGAUAUAUGCGUAAACGGAGUUGCCACGGCUGAGCAGCGCUGGAUGAGUGAGGCUGCGAGAGAACUGUGAAUGGCUACAUGCUCAUCCUCAUCCUCGCGCCAGGUACAUAACAAAUCAUCAAAGCUGGGAUUAAAAUUUCGUGAAGGAGCAGCUUUGACUGCUGGAAGACUUAAGCGUAUUAGCUUUAAAACCAAGAUGGGAGUUUCAAGUGAUGUAUGGCAGACUUCAAAGAUGUUUUAAUCUGUCGGUAGGCAUGCUCUUGCACAGCCUAUUUAUAUUAGAACACAGUGUUUCUUCUGCCUGCACGUCCUAAUCAAUGGUUUCUCCGGCUAGACCCAGGCUGAUGGUGAUGUUAACCAGUUAUUAAACAGCUGCACUUCCUCAGCUCUGCUUUCUCUGCUCUCUUUUAGUGGCUCGCCAGAAGCUGAUUAGAAAUACUCAACUGUUUUGUCCCAUUGUGAUGAAUAUUUGAUGAUUCAGUGGUCAUAACUUGACUUCUGUUUUGCUCGUAAAUUAUGGCAUAUGUAUUAGGAAACUUAAGAAUGAAUGAAUGUCUUUGAAUUAUGUCAAUAUACUCACGGCAAUUCGUAACUUUUUGAUUUAGUGGCUAAUUGAUUUUAAUUUGUACGAUCUGAUUCGUGUAAUUUAAUACAAUUUGCUCAUCCCCCAAUGACAGUUGAGUUUAGGGGCGGGGCUGAGUGCCACGCCACCUUUUUAAAAUUGUACAUUUUGUACGACUAAACUCGUAUAAUUAGCCACUAAACAUGAGAUCAGGCUGAUAUUUUAAAAGGUAUCAACUAUUUGAAAGAUGUAUUUCAUUUUUUUUUGUAUUAGUUUACUUUACAUUUUCAGGUAAUAUGAUAAAUUACAGCUUCAAUUGGACUCGUGUUAGUUAAAAGUAGCUAAAAGCUAUCUAUCUCCGGUGUUGUGAUUGGGGACAUUUUUAAUCAAAACCUUAUUAAUUGAUUUUUUGCAUAUAGUAAAGAAACAAUGUUAUCAAUGAGUAAUGGUGCUAUUCCUUUAAGUUUAACUCAUCAAAAUAAUUCAAUGAAUUCAGCUCCUUUUUUUAGGUUCGAUUUAGGUUGUGUGUUUGAGUCGGUUUAAUAAAAAUGAAAAUGACUUAAAAUGAAUUAAUUAUGCCAACUUAGUUUGCCCUUAAAAGGGCAUCUGUUGCAUUUUGGUAGGAUUUAAUAAGGAAAGACUAUGAAAGUAAAACACUUGGAAGAUAAUAAGUUACAGAUCCUUUUAACAAAAAAUAUUUGACACGUUUAUAUAAAGGUAAUUCUUGAACUACGGGCACUUUUAUGUCCUUUGAUCAUAUAUGUAGAGUUAUUGAUGUUUGCCCUGCGCGCUUGCUUUAUUUUUAGGAACUUCUUUGGUUUGGUGCGUCAAUCUUAUUAAUGCUAUUAUUCAAAAAAGGUAAUGAUUCACACUCAAUUAAGGAAGGCUUUGUGCCGAAACGUCUGUGUCUUUAAUGACCCGUAAAAUGUAAGAAAAUAAAAACAAUACAAAGCGAUUUAGUGCGAAUCAUUAUCUUUCUUUAAUCAUAUAUCCAAAAAUAUACAUAAUUUUGUUC